rnacentral:lncRNA from 1 species
CGUCACUAUUCAUGUGAAUAGUACUAUUCAUCAAUCAUGAAUACAUAUCUAUUCAUAUGUGCAGUACAUUUGCCAGUACAGUUAUUAUUCAUGUGUACGGCACUUUUAAACAAUACGGUACUGUUACAUCAUUAAGGAAACUCAGGUCCUUAUUCACAUGUCAGGGAUCAAGGACCCUUAAGUCCGAUCACAUGUUUACAAAUAUAGUACCGGAGAGACUGCCAGCUUUCAUAUCAAUAUCAUCAUCAAGGAUCUUCAAGUCCUGAUGUAAAUGUAUGAUGAGGAUCAAGGAACUUCUGGUCCUGAUCUGUAUACUGUAAAAACUCAUCAUACAGCACAAUUAAUCCAUAAAAUAAAUUUACCGUUUAAAUAAAUUACUUGUAUGGACGUUAAUCCCGCACCAUACUUUAAAUGUGCGGUAAAGUAAAUUCAUAAAUUAAAUUGCUGUAUGGACGUUAAUCCCGCACCAUACUGUAAAUGUGUGGUAAAGUAAACGUGCUUGUAUGGGCACUAAUUCUGCUCCAUACAUUUAAAUAACAGUAAAGGCGUGGACGAUAAACCCGCACCACCCUUUAAAGUAAAUUUAUGAUAAAGUAAAUGUGCUUGUAUGGGCACUAAUUCUGCUCCAUACAUUUAAAUAACAGUAAAGGCGUGGACGAUAAACCCGCACCACCCUUUAAAGUAGGUUAAUUUGCUGUAAAGUAAAUUCACAAAUUAAAUUGCUGUAUGGAUGUUAAUG